rnacentral:rRNA from 1 species
CACGUAGGGCGCAAGCGUUGUCCGGAAUUAUUGGGCGUAAAGAGCUCGUAGGUGGUUUGUUACGUCUGCUGUGAAAACCUAGGGCUUAACCCUGGGCUUGCAGUGGAUACGGGCAGACUAGAGGUAGGUAGGGGAGAAUGGAAUUCCUGGUGUAGCGGUGAAAUGCGCAGAUAUCAGGAGGAACACCGGUGGCGAAGGCGGAUCUCUGGGCCUUACCUGACGCUCAGGCGCGAAAGCUAGGGGAGCGAACUGG